AGCAGCCGCGGUAAUUCCAGCUCCAAUAGCGUAUAUUAAAGUUGUUGCAGUUAAAAAGCUCGUAGUUGAAUUUCGGGAUCAGUACGUUGGUCGUGCCUUCGGUACGUACUGAUGUUACUGGUUUCUACCUUCUGAAGAACCGUCAUGUCAUUAAUUUGGUGUGGCGGGGAAUCAGGGCUGUUACUUUGAAAAAAUUAGAGUGUUUAAAGCAGGCUCGCGCUUGAACACAUUAGCAUGGAAUAAUGAAAUAGGACGUUCGAUCUUAUUUUGUUGGUUUCUAGGAUUGACGUAAUGAUUAAUAGGGAUAGUUGGGGGCAUUAGUAUUCAAUUGUCAGAGGUGAAAUUCUUGGAUUUAU
rnacentral:rRNA from 1 species